GGGCUGUUAGCUCAGUUGGUAGAGCAGCGGACUCUUAAUCCGUAGGUCGGGCGUUCGAGCCGCCCACAGCCCA
rnacentral:tRNA from 1 species